rnacentral:rRNA from 1 species
AGUGAACGCUGGCGGCGUGCCUAACACAUGCAAGUCGAACGAUGAUGGAGAGCUUGCUCUCCUGAUUAGUGGCUCACGGGUGAGUAUACCAUAGCUAAUGUACCUCUUAGUUCGGGAUAGCCACUGGAAACGGCGAUUAAUACCGGAUACUCCUGCCUGUCUUAAGGCGAGUCGGGAAAGUUUUUUCGCUAAGAGAUCAGUCUAUGUCCUAUCAGCUAGUUGGUGAGGUAAUGGCUCACCAAGGCUAUGACGGGUAUCUGGUUUGAGAGGAUGAACAGACACACUGGGACUGAGACACGGUCCAGACUCCUACGGGAGGCAGCAGUGAGGAAUAUUGCACAAUGGAGGAAACUCUGAUGCAGCAACGCCGCGUGGAGGAUGACGCAUUUCGGUGUGUAAACUCCUUUUAAGAGGGAAGAUUAUGACGGUACCUCUUGAAUAAGCACCGGCUAACUCCGUGCCAGCAGCCGCAGUAA